CAGCACCUCUACAGCUCACUAAUUAAUAAAUAAUUAAAUAAUAAUAAAUCUUGUUGGUCUAAAACCAACGUGUAAAAUGAGAAGUUGCUGUUUUAGAGGGGGAUCAUAUUGCAAUUUCUUUGUCACAUCUCCAAGUAACUAGAUGCUAUGGCAGCGUAUUGCUUGUCAUGGUGGCAAUGUUCCAUUUUUCUAGCCUACAAUAUCAUCUUUUUUGGCACUGACUGGAUCUUUUUAUUGUUUUAAUGACAUAUGUCAGUUUUUUGUUAUAAAAACUUACCAACUCAUCAUGUUAUAACAAGGAAAGUUAGUAAAAAAGUUGAUGAGACACAUUCAUUUUGUGAAAUAACGAGAAAGUUUUGCAAUAUUACAAGAUGUGGUAUGUUGUUAUUGCAGUUUCUUGUAAAAAACUCAAUAAUUGAGUACAAUGAGACAAGUAGCUAUAUCAGUAAAACAUGAAAAUAUCUUGUUAUAAUGUGAAAAAGAUGAUGUUAAGUCCAUAAAAGUUUCUCGUUAUUAAUAACUGAGCAAAUUGCCUUAAGAUUCAUGCAACUGCAUCACUGUUCAGCUGAAUUUCAGUGCCUACAUCACUAAGUGAACACAUCGCUGUUCAUUACACACAUAACAUUCACACAUGGUUACGAUGGUGUUAAUUAGUGAGCUUUGCAGGUGCUGGUUGGUGGAUUUUGUCACCUUGGACAGAGCCAGGCUAGCUGUUUCCCCCUGUUUCCAGACUUUAUGCUAAGCUAAACUAACCUGCUGCUGGUCUUAGCUUCAUAUUGCAUAUUGCUUUUUUCUUUUCUCUCAGCAAAAAAGUGAAAAAGCAUAUUUUGCAAAAUGUUGAAUCAUUCCUUUAAAGCAGACAGAACUUUGUAAUCCAAGGCUCAGAUACACUAUAAUCAAAAGGUGGACAACGCUGACCGGAGGCCUGAGCCUGAGUGAGUCAGGGAGAGCAGGUCUGGACUUGCCUCCCACAGGGGCAGCGAAACAGUGUGACGGACACAAGACUGUACCUGUUACCUGCCUUCAAUACAGUAUAGACUCCAGUAACUGACAGUCUCUCUUUGUUCCUGUCUUCCUGUCUGACUGGGGCCGAACCUGUGAAUGAUGACUCUGAGCGCAGGCAGCUAUCUGAGGCUUG